GACGAACGCUGGCGGCGUGCCUAACACAUGCAAGUCGAGCGAAGUGAGUACUACGGUACGAACUUAGCGGCGGACGGGUGAGUAACGCGUGGACAAUCUACCCUGUAGACUGGGAUAACACCUCGAAAGGGGUGCUAAUACCGGAUAAUGUCGAGAAGCGGCAUCGCUUUUCGGAGAAAGGAGAGAAUCCGCUAUAGGAGGAGUCCGCGUCCCAUUAGCUAGUUGGUGAGGGUAACGGUCCAACAAGGCGACGAUGGGUAGCCGGCCGGAGAGGGUGAACGGCCACACUGGAACUGGGGACCGGGCCAAGAUCCUACGGGGGGCAGCAGGUGGGAAUAAUUGGGAAAGGGGGAAACCCUGACACAGCAACGCCGCGUGAGCGAAGAAGGCCUUCGGGUUGUAAAGCUCAAUAGUAUGGGAAGAUAAUGACGGUACCAUACGAAAGCCCCGGCUAACUACGUGCCAGCCGCCGCAGUAACAC
rnacentral:rRNA from 1 species